rnacentral:lncRNA from 1 species
CAUGUUGAAGGAAUGGCAAUCGGAGAAUGGAGGCAUAAUCUACUACUCCUACUUUGACACUUUUGCCAGCCAUCAACGACCUUAUUCAGACUCCAGCUUCUUAUGGUACCAUUUUAUACGUACAAUAACAUAUCCAACUAUUAUUUUCUUUCUUAAUUCUUUUCAUUUCUUUAUUAAAAUUAAGAAACUUUCCUUUCUCUUUUAUUUUUUAUUCUAAUUCAAAUAACUUUAAAAUUUAUUAUCUUUUUUCUCUUUUAUUUCUUUCCUCUACCAAAAGAUGUUUAUUAGUUUUGUUUUGAGUAAAUGACCAUUUUAUUUUCUAAAUUUGUAUUUUGUUAUGGUUUUAGUACUUAAAAUCAAGAAAAAUUCAAAUAAGUUCACGAACAUUUUUAGUGUUUCACUUAAAUCUCUGAAAGUAACUUUUUUUCUUUUUCUUAUUUUGGUUCCUAAACUCAUGUUGUUAUUAUUACCUAAGUCCUCGUACUAGGGGUCAAAAUGAAAAAAAAAGAAGAUGUUAGGUUAAGAGACUUAUUUGGUGAGAUACAAAUUUAGGAAAUGAAUUGGCUAUUUACUCUUUUGUUUUUAUAAAGUUGAUUUCUAAUUAAAAUAAGUUUAAAUCACUUUUCAGGAUUUAGUGAGCCAGAGCUCCCAGCCUACCAUUGUCAAACCUUUGUCCUAACAGAGACAAGAUCACAUCUUCUUUGACCAAUUCCAUCCUACGGAGGCGUUGCUCGUUUGUUUGUUAUUUGUUAAUAAACUUUUUUAUGGCC